rnacentral:lncRNA from 1 species
AAAAUGUUUACACCCUUCUUACAAUACAACAAAUUUUGUAGUGAUUUUGCAUGUUAUACUCUAUAAAAGUUCAUCAUCGAAUAUCCGAGCUAAAACGAUAUAGUUUUAAAAGUAUGCCAAAUCUACCACUGUCUGCAAACUACCUACUACCAGCAAUAAGUACAAAAAGAAAAGUCUUAUUAACAAAAAUCAAAAGAUCUAGUUUUCGUUUGUCAGCAUCUACAAACAAUACAGACAUCAUAUGGUUUACAUGUAGACUUAGGUCCAGCCCAAGGUAAAGACUGCAAAAAUAAAGUCUUUGACAUCCACACGAGCUUGGCCAUCCCCAUUACAAUAUUCCAUCACAGGUGAUUAAGCGAUGCGUCAUGCAGUGAAGCCACGGCUAUAAAUUUGGGCUGUUUAUAGUGCUACAAAGCGGCCUAAACUGUAAGCAACUUAAUGGUAUUUUUUUUUUUUUUCCAGAAUAGAUGCUAUCAUAAAAAGGCACAAAUAUCUUACUCCUUGCAUCGGGUCUUGUUAAAAGGCAUGACAUUCUUAGGAGAAAUAAGGAUUGCUGGUACGACAGCUUAGCUUUUAUUUAUUUAUUUGUAAAUGUCUAGGCUCAUCUCCACAGCUGCUUCUCUUCCAAGACUUUAAACUUGUGUUUUUUACAUACUUCAACAGGUGCUCUGUUGCACAUCGAGCAACGUCUUGACGCUUAAACUAUCUCAUCACCGACUCUGAAACCCCUUCUGUCAGUCAUGUUGCCACCGACAGCCAGGGCUGCCUGUUUCCUCGCUGGGAAGAGGGGAGCUCCUCACCUAAAAUUAGCUUUUGCAUCUCCCGACAGCGCUCACGCUCACGGGUGGUGACUCCACCGCUGCCGCCUUGGAAGGCGGGGUGGAAAGGGACGUCACACGCACUGAGGGGGCUGGUGCUGUGCGUCUUUAAGGGAGAGUCCAUGGCAAAAUGAGAAGAAGAGAAAUAAGGCAAGGAGGCUGUUUCGAUCACAGAGAAGGCAAGACAUCAAUUCUUUUUUUUUUUUUUUUUUUUUUUUUUUUUUUUUUUUUUUUAAGACAUCAAUUCUUAAGAAGGUCAGAGGCAUGAUUGACAAUUACGUGAAUGACUCAUAAGGUGAAAUGAUGCAAAGACUGAGCAGGAUGAGAGUAAAAAAAGAAAAAUCUUUUCCAGGCCAAUACAGCUCUGUCUACACGAGACAACAAAUGGUUUAAAAAUAGAGCCACCAAUCAGUUGCUCUGACUAGCCAGCUGCCGAUAACUCCCUCCGCCUGCACCGAAUCGACCCGUCACUCUGACAUCACGUGCAUGGCCCAUAUUAAGAAAAAGUUCCAUAAACUAUGUAAUAACCUCCUAUGCAAAGUCAGCAGAGGUACACAAACUUCAGCCUUGCUUUCAACAUUUUUCAGGGGGUAACACUGACUAUUUAAGCACAAAUUUGAUGGAAAAAUGGAUAAGGGACAAAUGACAGGAGAACGAGGCCCCGAGGUGAAGUCACCGGCUGCCACGGGCCGGACAAUGUUCCCGACUGGGCUCUGGACUCGCCCUGGGGAAGGGGGUGUGCUCCGCUUCUCCACAACCUGACUGAAGAGGUCAUGGGAGUUUCCUGGGCAAUUUCAGUUCUGAGCAAAGACUAUCGGCCCUCUGUGCAAUCUGCUAUUUUAAAGAUGAUUUUCUUCACAGUCCUUUAUUAGACAAUCUGCUUCCAGAAACGAUGAAAUGUUCCUGAAUCAAGAAGUGGCAUCAAAACCAGCAUGUUUUGUUUCUGUUGAGUGAUUAAGGAGAACAUUAAGAUCUACAGUUUAAAAAUACCAAUUAAAGAAGGUUUUUUCAAACGACCAUUACUAUCUUAGGGUUUCCCAUUAAUUAGCUGAAUUCUGGGCACUUGAAUUCCUGUUCAUGGAAAGCUACCCAGAAUUUGGUUUGCUUCAUUUAUGAAGCGUUUUGAUGAGAUUCUGGGCACCAUACAGAUUUGAAAACGAGCUCGUAAUAAACUAAAUACUUUUUUUCUUAAAUUUGUUACGACUCCAUGGUUUUAAUUCAGUAUCUGCUGAUGACACAUCCUCAUCUUACUAUUUAAAAUGUUCAACGUAAUAAAAGAAGAUGGAAGGUUUAAAAUUUUUCUUUUUAUUAAACUUCUGAAUCCUUUUGUUGUGAAGCCAAAAAUAUCCUAGCAUCUAUAAUUGAUUAUACUCUAAAAGGAAAGAACACAGAUAUUAGUUAUUUCUGAUGGUGCAGACCAUCAAAUUAAAGUUGAUCUAUGCUACUGGAAAGUCCUUCUAGAUUUGGAAAGUAAAUCAUUUUCCUAUAUACUCAGAGCAUCCUGAAGGACAAACCGAGAAAUAUGGGGAUUCUUGGUUUUAUUUAUUCACUUUCUUCAUUAUGUCUAAUGAAACUUCAUCACGCCAGGUCUCCCUUAUCAUUCUCUUAGAUUGAAAAAGUGGAGGCUCCUGAAAAAUGUAAUACCCUUCUAAUAUUUUUUAGACUUUCAUUUGCACAUAAAACAGGACAAAUGCCCCAGAAUUCCAUUAAUGUUUCUUGCAAAUCAGAUAAUCAAAUUGCCCGGAUUUCUAUUACUGGAAGUCAAGACAAGUAACUCUGCUGUCAAGAGAAAUUGGCAGAGGUCGUUUCUUCCACACCUAGACUAGAUUUUCACCCGACCUCCCUUUUCUAAAAUUAUGCAGUAUAAUGUGUAUCUCCUGGACAGAUCUGUUCCUUGGACUGGAUUUUUUUUUAUUUUUUAAUUUUUUAUGAUUGUGCUGCAGGAGUUAAGAUAAGUCUCCUAAGCAUCAUCUUGAAUCGUUGAACUUCUCAUGCAUCAAGCUAAUUGAAGGCAGGCAUAUAUAGUCAUAGCUUGAUUCUUAAAAGUACAUUCCACUUCUUCUUUAAAAAUACAUUAACCGUUAAGAGGUAGACUCUCCCUUGAAGUCAAACAGUAAACAGAAGUUAUGCUGCUAGUCCCUUUAAAACAAAUUUAAAUGAGGAAGAGUUUUCUACAAGUUUACACCAUCUAGCUUAUCGUGGUCAUUAACUUUCAUCACAGAGUCAGGAAGAACAUUUACAGAUUACAGAGUUGAGAGAAGAGAGCCAGCCUGAGCGUGUGGGCUGUCAUCCCCCCUACAACAUUUUAAAGCAGGUACCUCGUAGAUACCAGAGUUAAGGGACUCUCGGUAACUUUUCCUCAGAAGGAGAGGAUUCUCUCACUACUUAGAGAGACAGGCUCUUGCAAAGACAUCUGAAUGUGUAGGGGCUCAUGUGUCAUAUAUAACAUACUGUGAACCUAUAUCUUAUACAACCAUGAGGCCAUGAAUCAUGUUCUCAGCGUGUUCUGAACAAAAUGAGUGGAAAAGAAGGCUUGUAAGAAUUUAUAUAACCUCUUUUUUGCAACUCACCCACAGACUAUAAAAGAUGCAUCUAACAGUGAACAAAUGCCUUUUCAAGUCCUGAGGCUGACAUGCCAAUUAGUGCAGUGUAAUCUGAAUCAAACCUGUCCAUUUUAACACAUUGCCGAGAAGGUACCGAGAUUCUGGUUUGACAUCUCCAGGAAAGCCAUGGAGCAGUUAUCUAAAGGACAUUUUCAUUACUAUUAUCUCCCAGAGCUUAAUUUAGAAGGUCUCCUAGACCUGUUUUCCUUCUUAAGGGGGGAGAGUGUGUGAGAGAGAGAGACAGAGAGAGAGAGAGAAAACAAGACUUAAAGAGAAGUUCUAAAAUUAUGUGUGGCCUGCCUUCCUUUUAUAUACUUAAAAAAUAACGAAAAAUGAUCGCCUUGAGAAGGGCAACAGCCCACUCCAUGGAGGAGGUCAAGCCUCUAAUACAAAAGGCUCCGUCCUUUGGAUACAGGAGGCAUCCGCUUCAAACAAAAUCAUAAACAGGCAACAAGGAAGUGUGUUAUUUUAAAGGGACUCACUCUCUCAGCUGCUAUGUAUAGCACUUAUCCUGCCUGUGGCAGAAAAGCAGGUGAUGGAGGUUUCAUUUGGAACCAGAAGGGCUUGCAAUAGGUACUUCUCCCUAAUCACUUCUUUAAGAGAGUUUAAAAUGAAGGACACUUAAUCAUACUCUUACUUUAUGUUCUUUUAAUCACCAAAUGAUGGUUAAUUAGUUAUCAUAGAAUCGGAAAAACACUUGUGUGAAAGGAGAGUUCUGGAGGCUGAUGGUUUGUAGGACUGGGCACCUGCAAAGAGCUCAUUUCAAUUUCUCUGAGAGGAAUCAAUAUACACUUGCAGCUAAUUAAUGAUUUUUCUCUUUUCAAUCCCCAAAGUUUUUUAAGAUGGUCCUUUGUCAGAAGGGAACUAAAAGGAUUUUUUAUAGAUGGGCUGUGUCUCAAUUCCUUUGAAAUCUAGCUUUUUCCCCUAAGAAAUGACUGAGAAUAUAUGACAUGUGGAUUAGAUCACUGCCUGGCCAGGUUGCUAAUCCUAAACACGUUCAAAGUAAAACACUGUUUCUGCCUUCAACAUCAACCUUUGCAGCACACAAGUGAACAAAAAAAAUGGAAACAUUUCCCCCUAUUUUCCUGGGGUACGGAUCACAUGGAUCUGAGAUGACAAUGUGCUGCUGCUAGUGGUAAGGAGACGCUACAUGAGCAGCAGGGUCUCGCUGAUUCCUGAGACAGUCUGAGGAAAACGAGGGCCCAAGAGGCCCCAGUACAUGGGAAGACAGCACCGUUGCACGAGCCACCUGUCAUUCAUUCUGGGCCUAAAACACGUGGCCAGAACCAAACAGAAGCCCUCGCUACAAACAGGGAGGAGCGUGAGAAGUCGUGAAUAGAGAACAGCUACGGAGGGCCUGAAGCGAUGGCCUGUUUUGGGCUAAACUCAGUGACCGUGGGGACAGGCCGAGAGGCAGGCGGAUGCCUCACCAGUACGAGGAGGCACGGAAGCAUGCGGCCUUCCCCGGGCACCCAGACACCAGGGAAUCAUUGACAGUGGCGACAGGUUUGGUGGGAAAACUGUGAAGGUCACAGAUGUGCGUCAUCUUUUGGUGAAAUAAGACAGAAAGGGCCGCCCAUGC